rnacentral:sRNA from 1 species
AAACAUAAGAAUGAAU